AAGUCCCGCCACUUUGAUGUCCU
rnacentral:siRNA from 1 species